UUGUUGGAGAGUUUGAUCCUGGCUCAGGACGAACGCUGGCGGCGUGCUUAACACAUGCAAGUCGAACGCUGAAGCAC
rnacentral:rRNA from 1 species